AUAUAACACUUCAAAAUCAAUUGACAGCUGAAAGAAAUCUGGAUAUAAUUAAUACUUCAGUAGUACUUGUAGCUAUUGGAGUGUUAUCAGAUCAAUCCACCGAUUUAAGAACCUGGAUGGCCACAAUUGAGCAUAGAGACGAUAGUGUUACACAUUUCGAAAGUAGACUAAAUUUUGGGAAUACAAUUCAGCUAAACAAAUAUACUCAUUAAACACAUGUAUAGACCAUCCACACAAUGGGCGUGUUUGCGAUAUUAAAUUCCAAGAAAUUGGUAAACAAUUUCUUUGUGCUUCUGUUGGGAAAGAUAAUUUGCUUAAAAUAUGGAAGUUUAUGGAAUCCACUCCUAUUCACAAAAAAAGACAUUGGCAAUGCGUGGGUUCUGUAAAACAUAAGGAUCUUCCGGCUAA